AUGGUAGUGUCUUCCAGAAAUACUCUCACAGGCACACCCAGGACAAAUGUUCUACCAGCUAUCUGGGCGUUGCUUAGGCCAGUCAAGUUGACACAUAAAAUUAACCAACGAAGUAAUUCUAACAAAGAUUUAUAACCAGAUUACACUCUUCUGAAGCUAAAGAACUGCUAAUGGAGAUAGCAGUCAUCAGUUACUGUGAUAGUUAAUGUUGAGUGUCAACUUGAUUGGAUUGAAAAAUGUGAAGUAUUGUUUCUGGGUGUGUCAGUGAGGGUGCUGCCAAAAGAGAUUAACAUUUGAGUUAGUGGACUAAGAAAGGCAGACCCACUCUCAAUCUGGGUGGGCACCAUCUAAUCGGCUGCCAACAUGGCUAGGAUAAAAGCAGGCAGAGGAAUGUGGAAGGACUAAACUGGCAGAAUCUUCUGGCCUCCAUCUUUCCCCUGUGCUGGAUGCUUCCUGCCCUCAAACAUCGGACUCCCAAGUUCUUCAGCUUUUGGACUCUUGGACUUACAUCACUGAUUUGCCAGGGGCUCUGAGGCCUUUGGCCACAGGCUGAAGGCUGCACUAUCAGCUUCCCUACUUUUAAAGUUUUGGGACUUGGAAUUGCUUCCUGGCUCCUCAGCUUGCAGACAGCCUAUUGUGGGACUUCACCUUAUGAUCAUGUCUCAGCAGGACAGCUUAUCUCUGCUCCAUGUGGCCUAACUGGGGUUGGAUGACCCACCUCCAAGAUGGCUUACUUUCAUGAAUGGUGACCUCACACUGGGAGCCUGAAACCAGCCAUGGUGAGAGUAUUGAUGGACAGAAAUCAGCAAAUGCUACAAAUCAGGACUCUACUCCUCCCCAGAGCUGAUGAAUAAGUGAGUGAGGAAGAAAGUGGCCCCAAAUGAAGUUGUUGUGGAAAUAGGCAGGGCUGGAUCAUUCACGGCCUUGCAGGUCAUGGUGAGGAGUUGAGAUUGAGUUGCCUUUAGAAAGGAAGCUAACUCUACAGCAGAAGCAGUGAGUCACAAGGACAAGAACCAAAUGAUAUGGACGACCCCAUCACAACAACUCAAGCUGGUGUAAACAUUCUCACAUGGCAUGAGAAUGAAACAUAAUGCAGUGCUCCCUCUCCCCAGACCUGGGUCACAUUCCUCUAUGGAUUAAAUGCAAUAGCAGUUAGGUUUUAAUUGCAUUCCUUUGAGCAAUGUCAUUUAUUUUACCUGUUGUUUACCAUUAAAUUUAUGUCCUGGAAGAUGUUGAUAAAACUACAAGAAGGAAAGUAUCCUUUUGCUAUGGUUUGAAUAGCAAACCAAAAUUUGUGUUGAAAUUUUAUCCCAAAUGUGGCAGAGAAUUAGUCCAUUCUCAUGCUGCUAAUAAGGACAUACCCAAGACUCGGUAAUUGAUAAAGGAAAGAUGUUUAAUUGACUCACAGUUCAGCAUGGUUGGGGAGGCCUCAGAAAACUUACAAUCAUGGUGGAAGGGGAACCAAACACGUCCUCCUUCACAUGGUGGCAAGAGAGACAAGUGCAGAGAAAAGGAGGGGAAAGCCCCUUAUAAAAUCAUCAACUCUCAUGAGAACUCACUCACUAUCAUCAGAACAGCAUGGAGGUAACCGCCCCCAUGAUUCAAUUACCUCCCACUAAGUCCUUCCCAUGACCCAUGGGGAUUAUAGGAUACCUGAGAACUUUGACAUGUUUCUGACAUGCCCUGAAAACAGCUGCCACAUUGCCUCAGUGAUUAACAUUCGGCUCCUCAUCACAUAUGCAAAUUUCAGCAGCCGGCUUGAAUUUCUCCCAAGAAAAUGGGUUUUUCUUUUCUGUCACAUAAUCAGGCUGCAAAUUUUCCAAACUUUUAUGCUCUGCUUCCUCUUGAACACCUUGCCACUUAGAAAUUGCUUCUGUCAGAUUCCCUAAAUCAUCUCUCUCAAGUUUAAAGUUUCACAGAUCUCUAGGGCAGGGGCAAAAUGCCGCCAGUCUCUUUGCAUAGCAAGAGUGACAUUUACUCCAGUUUCCAACAAGUUCCUCAUCUCCAUCUGAGACCACCUCAGCCUGGACUUUAUUGCCCAUAUCACUAUCAGCAUUUUAGUCAAAGCCAUUCGACAAGUCUCUAGGAAGUUCCAAACUUUCCCACUUCUUCCUGCCUUCUUAGCCCUCCAAGUCUCUAAGAGUUUCCAAACUUUCCCACAUUUUCCUGUCUUCUGAGCCCUCCAAAUGGUUUCAACCUCUGCCUGUUACCCAGUUCCAAAGUUACUUCCACAUUUUCAGGUACCUUUACAGCAGCGCCCCACUCUCUGUGGUACCAAUUUACUGUAUUAGUCCCUUCUCCCACCUCUAUAAGGACAUAUCUGAGACUGGGUAAUUUAUAAAGGAAGGAGGUUUAAUUGACUCACAGUUCCACAGGGCGGGGGAGGCCUCAAGAAACUUACAAUCAUGGUGGAAGGGGAAGCAAACACGUCCUUCUUCACAUGGCAGCAGGAGAUGUGCAGAGAGAAGUGGGGGAAAGCCCCUUCUAAAACCAUCAGAUCUCAUGAGAUCUCAUCAGAUCUCAUAAGAACUCACUCAAUAUCAUAAGAACAUGAUAUGGAGGUAACCGCUGCCAUGAUUCAAUUACCUCCCAUGGGGUUUUUUCCAUGACAUGCAGGGAUUAUGGGAGCUACAAUUCAGUAUGAGAUUUAGGUGCGGACACAGCCAAAACCAUAUCAGGCAGUAUUGAGAAGUGAAGCAUUUAAGAGGUGAUUGGGUCAUGAGGGCUCUGCCCUCAUGAAUGACUUAGUCUAUUCACAGAUUAAUGAAAUAGUGAGUUAUCAUUGGAAGGGAACUGUGGCUAUAUAGGAAAAGGAAGAAAAACCUAAGCUAGCAUGUUAGCGCACUCAGCCCCCUUGCCACGUGAUGCUCUGCACUGCCUCAGGACUCUGCAGCAUCCCCAUUAGCAAGAAAAUGUGGCAUAUAUACACCACGG
rnacentral:lncRNA from 1 species